UAGGGAAUCUUCCACAAUGGACGCAAGUCUGAUGGAGCAACGCCGCGUGAGUGAGAAGGUCUUCGGAUCGUAAACUCUGUUGUUAGAGAAGAACACGAGUGAGAGUAACUGUUCAUUCGAUGACGGUAUCUAACCAGCAAGUCACGGCUAACUACGUGCCA
rnacentral:rRNA from 1 species